UCGUGCGUCCUAACCUGAGGAGUGUUGGAUCUGCCACGUCAAUUAAUGAGGUGUGAUCCAACGCUCCGUGUUUUUCUGAUUUUUAAUUUUUUUCUUUUAUUAUUUUUAAUUUCUUUUUCUUGUAAAAUUCAUAGUAAUUUCAUUUUUCAUCCAAAAAAUCUCAAAAUAAUUUCUAAAAUUCUCUUUUAUUUUUCUUCAUCUGAUUUUUAUUUUUUCAUAUUUUAUUCCACUGAUUUU
rnacentral:lncRNA from 1 species